ACAACUAUUUAUGGAAAGCUGUAACCUCUUUUAAUUAGAAGAGAACGCGAUCCAUAUUUAGGGGACCUAGACCUCACUAAUACAAAGAUUGUGAUCAGUUUUAUUAUCUGAUUAAUGAAAGGAAAGAGGACUAAGAACCCUACUUUUGUAAUUUUCUUAUUUUCUAAUAUUUCUCUUUUAAGAGGUCAAAGUUGAGCGGAUUGAAGAAAUUGCUUCCUUCUCUCCAAAUAGAUCAAUUGAAAUUGUUAAUUUCGAUAAUUACUUAAAUGCAUGAUAUAACUACCUUCUAAAACAGCUAUAGAUCAUCUCUCUAUUCCAAUUUUUUUAUAUAUAAUAUAUUUUUAUCUUCUAAUUAAUUCUAUAUCAAAAUUUUAAUUCAAAAAUUACAUUGCCCAUAUCAGCUUGGUAAAGAUGUCUGCUACACAUCAAUCCAGGCCAAUUUUAGUGCCCCGCACCCUGUAACAGCAUUUGGAUGCUGUCAGAACAAUAUGGUAGUAUCAGUGGUACCAUAUCCUAGCAAUGAUAUUCAAAUCCUUGAUCAGAAUAAAUAUUAAUUGUUGUAGUCCAAAAGUCACCAAAGUUCUCGCAUAGGCUAGUCAAUGAGUCUCCAUAUAUCAAUGCAAGUGUUAUUUAAAAUUAUGCAGUUUUAUUGGUUAUUUUGUAAUGAAUUUCAUUACAAUUUCUCUUGUAUUUCAAGUUAAACCUCCCCUCAGAACUGCAAAGUUAUCCUCCCAUUUCUUCUUUUCUUGUUCUACUUUUGUAGUUCAUCACCUUAAUUUUUCUAAACCCCUACUGUUAGUUGCAUUGAAUUGGUAAGAGAGCGGCACUUUAUAUUCUUUCCAUGAUGACGUUGCCACUGGGAAUAUCCUAGAAGAACAUCAUAUGUAUCCCGUAUUCUUGCAUCUUCCAUUAGAUAACCAUAAAAAUGAGGACCUAACCUACAAAAUUACAAUAAAAUUAUGAGAUGACAAAAAUGUCAAAUGAAGAUCCCAUAUAUGAAUAUAGUC
rnacentral:lncRNA from 1 species